GACGUAGGGAGCGAGCGUUAUCCGGAUUCAUUGGGCGUAAAGCGCACGCAGGCGGCCAAGUAAGUCGGGUGUGAAAAUCCCGGGGCUCAACCCCGGGCGUGCAUCCGAAACUGCUUGGCUAGAGGUAGGCAGGGGAGAUCGGAAUUCCUGGUGUAGCGGUGAAAUGCGCAGAUAUCAGGAGGAACACCGGUGGCGAAGGCGGAUCUCUGGGCCUUACCUGACGCUCAGGUGCGAAAGCUAGGGGAGCGAACAGGAUUAGAACCGUACCGGUACCGUCCGU
rnacentral:rRNA from 1 species